rnacentral:lncRNA from 1 species
ACUUAAUCUGAGACUGCAAAUUAAACUGGCAAAAUCAGCUAGAAAGUAAAACAAGGAUUACUAAAUACUUUUAGAUGUGAACUUAAUCUGAGACAGCAAAUUAAACUGGCAAAAACAGCUAGAAAGUAAAACAAGGAUUACUAAAUACUUUUAGAUGUGAACUUAAUCUGAGACUGCAAAUUAAACUGGCAAAAACAGCUAGAAAGUAAAACAAGGAUUACUAAAUAUUUUUAGAUGUGAACUUAA